GGCUUCUUAGCUCAGUGGUCUAGAGCAUUUGCUUUACAAAACGCAUGUACAGCGCGCAAAGGGUCGUGGGUUCGACCCCCACAGAGGUCA
rnacentral:tRNA from 1 species